GUUGCUUCGGGGGCGACCCUGCCGUUUCGACGGCGAGCGCCCCCGGAGGCCUUCAAACACUGCAUCUUUGCGUCGGAGUUUAAGUAAAUUAAACAAAACUUUCAACAACGGAUCUCUUGGUUCUGGCAUCGAUGAAGAACGCAGCGAAAUGCGAUAAGUAAUGUGAAUUGCAGAAUUCAGUGAAUCAUCGAAUCUUUGAACGCACAUUGCGCCCCUUGGUAUUCCGAGGGGCAUGCCUGUUCGAGCGUCAUUUCACCACUCAAGCCUCGCUUGGGAUUGGGCGCCGCGGUGUUCCGCGCGCCUCAAAGUCUCCGGCUGAGCUGUCCGUCUCUAAGCGUUGUGAUUUCAUUAAUCGCUUCGGAGCGCGGGCGGUCGCGGCCGUUAAAUCUUUCACAAGGUUGACCUCGGAUCAGGUAGGGAUACCCGCUGAACUUAAGCAUAUCAUA
rnacentral:rRNA from 1 species